GAGUUUAGUUAGGAUUUGGUUUAAAAUUUAGGAUUUGAUUUAGGGUUUAGGAUUUUAUUAGGAUUUUUUUAGGAUUUAAGAUUUAAUUAGUUUUGGCCUAAAGUUUGAAUGAAGUCCAAUAGGAUUUUAACUAGGAUUAAAUUAAGAUUAAAUUGUGAUGUACUUGAGAUAUAUUUGUGAUCAUACUAAUAUUCUUUUAAGAUUUCUUAUUGUUUCUUUGAAAUUUCUUUGAAGUUUCUUUGAAUUUGAUUAAAGCUUAUUUGAAAUUAUUAUGGUCUAUCUAAAAUUUAAUUAGUAUUCUAUUAGAGUUAGGAUUUUGUUGUUACAAUUUUCAUUCUACCUUCCACAACCAGGUCCCCGGAGCA
rnacentral:lncRNA from 1 species